AUGAUGGCCUUUCUGAGUACAUAAACUCCACAAGGAUAUCCUCCCCUGCCACUGACUGUGAAUUACCCAUGAGGCUGUGGGGCUACUUUGGGCCGCCCAUUGUGAUCAGGCCUGUGCACUGAGGUCAUGAGGGGAGCCAGACUGGCAGGCACUCUGCGGCUUCCUCUGAGAUACCAGAUCAAGUAAAUCAGAAUUAGAACUUG
ensembl:lncRNA